UCCCACCAGCAGGGACUCGACUGUGUGGUGCGGGGACACUGUUAGUAGGUGAGGGGGCAGCACACCCAAGGCUCGCGGCCUCUGACCGGCCUCCUGCGGUCUACACUCAUCCUUCCCGGUGUUCACCUCUGCCCCUGUUUGGUCGGGUACUGAGCUGAAUCUGGAGCUGAUGAGAGAAAAGACACGGGAGCUCAGAGAGCUCGGGGGAAAUGGGUUCUAACAGCCCCCAGCCCGGGUACGCGCUGGGCGGCCCAGGGUCAGGGACCUGCAGGGAGGGCGCCUCACCCGACCUGGCACAGGCCUGGAUCAGGGGCAGAAAACACUGACCCUGCCCCGUGCUGGGCCCACUUUACGGAUGGAGACACCAAGGCACCGGCAGCUGAAGCAGCCUGGGGUCUGGUGCCAGGGGGCCGAGGAGAAUCCAGGCCUCCUGGGCCAGCGUGCUUCCUACCCCGGCCCCACCUCCCCCUAAGUAGACCUUUCCCAGAUGCUGGGGUAAGAGUUUCUGCUCCAGCGCCCUGGACGAGCCCAAGGUCACCCAGCCCUUGGGACACCAGGCCCCGGGCUCCUCCUCCCCGCAGGCGCCGGCCGGACUCCAGCAGCCCCCUUCACGGGGUUCAGGAAGCGCCCCUCCACGCGUGAUCCACCCGCAAGCCGGCUCUGCAGGGGUGCAGUCAGAGCCCCGUGUCAGCCAGGCCUCCUGGGGCUCCCGCGGACACGCUCCACGCAUGAGGAAGGGAGGUCAGAAGCAGCCAACCGUUCGCAGCCUCAUCAGCUCACGGCGUGUGGGCGGGUGUUCCUCUGGCUGUGGAGAGCGGCUGCCCAGAGCCCGGUGCGGUUAAGCCGUGCCUCUGUGUAGUAGGUCGGUGCAAAGAUGUUUACGGAGGCGCGUGAGUUCCAAACGAUGCUACUGCCCUGUCUUCUGCCAACACAAAUGAAGGGCGCACCCCUCAAUCCAGCAAAACACCACCCCCUGGGACUGACAGAGGGCAGGGACCUUCUCUGCUGAUUCAGUAACACCACCGCCUGGAAGAGAGGGCAUUGGAAGCUGUACUGCAGAGGAUCCAAAGUGACACAUUUGGCCUCCUUUUCUGGAAUCCCCUUGGCCUCCUGGGGGAAGAGGCAGGCUCCGGGGUGGAGCUGAGCCCGGAACGUCCUGGGAUGUUGCCAAAUGAUGCACAAACCCACGGAAAGGGCGUGGCAGCCAGACCCAAGGAGCUUCCAGCUUGGCUCCAAAAGCUGGGACAAUCUGGGCAAGAGAUAAAGAAAAGGAGUGUUGCAUUUUAACCCACGACGGAAUUAAUGUUCACGAGUCCAUCCUGGCAUAAAUAAACGACUGAAUGAUUACGCGGAGAAGGGACAGCACUUCCUUCGGGAAGGUCUUAAUGUGGAGGGAGUGAGGGAACAGAACGUCAUCAGACCCGCUGCCACCAAGAUUCACCAAUGGGCACCCAAAAUCACAGAAGUUUGAGGGGGAACAGUGUCUCUGCAGAGCCUGAACGUAUCUCCCUCAAGACACCGGCUAAUUACGAAGAGACAACAGAGACGGUUUGCAAGAGAAAAUAUUUUGCAAUAACUUUUCAGGAGACAAGUUUGCAGUAGAGAAACAUAGCAGACGGCAGCUUAACGAAGGGCUCGAGGUUAACAACACGGGGACCUGUGGGCAUCCCGUCCCCCCAAGACGGGGCGUGAGAAAGCCGCCUUGGCUCUCCUGUCUUCCUGCCCAGGCGCAACUAAUGGUGAAAAAGUACCGGACGGACCCCAUUUGGGGAACGUUCUGUGAAAAAGCCGAUCGGCACAGUCCAAAGGCGGAGAGACAAAGACAGACCUCUCCGCAGACGGCAGAGAUUAAGGGGCAAGACGGAACAUGGGCGCGACGCAGCUCGGUCCUGGCGGGAAGGGACUCCGCAAAGUGGGUGAGCCCCGGGGGAGGCCUGCGGGGCCCUUCAUAGUGUCACAGCCGUGCUUGUGUCUCACUCUUGCUAAUUGCAUGAGAUUCGGUCGGACACGGGCGUUAGGGGGACUGCACAGAACUCUGCCCUAUUUUGUGGCUCUUCCUUUUAUUUUAAAAUAAAUAAUAAGGAAAGCACCCUUCCCUGUUUGGACUCCAGCCGGGCCCCAAGUGGCUCAGCCCUCCCUCGGCCUCCCUCCUCCCUUCCCCAGCCCCUGCGCCCCCCGCACCCCUCCACAGAGCUCUCUGACCUUGCCUCAUUCAGAGGUGCUCCCAGCUGGAGACAGCUCCCGCCUCCAGGAGCUCGGGCACCUCCCUCACCCCACGACUGGCCAAGCGGCCCCCAGGGGGAGCCCCACGCCCACUGCCCCCGGAGGGACUGAUUCCUGCCCGUAGCGGCCUGUCUACCGGUGACUGCCUUGGGGUCAGGUGGCCCACAAGAUACUGAGUAUGCAGCCUCUGAGUAAAAAUCCUUUCUGGAACAAGGGCGCCCGGGUGGCUCAGUCGGUUAAGCACCCGACUUCGGCUCAAGUCAUGAUCUCACAGUGCAUGAGUUCGAGCCCCGAGUAGGGCUCUGUGCUGACAGCUCGGAGCCUGGAAACUGCUUUGGAUUCUGUGUCUCCCUCUCUCUCUGCCCCUCCCCCGCUCAUGCUCUGUCUCUCUGUCUCUCUC